rnacentral:rRNA from 1 species
AGUCACAGGCGACGACGGGUAGCCGGCCUGAGAGGGCGACCGGCCACACUGGGACUGAGACACGGCCCAGACUCCUACGGGAGGCAGCAGUGGGGAAUAUUGCACAAUGGGCGAAAGCCUGAUGCAGCGACGCCGCGUGAGGGAUGACGGCCUUCGGGUUGUAAACCUCUUUCAGCAGGGAAGAAGCGAAAGUGACGGUACCUGCAGAAGAAGCGCCGGCUAACUACGUGCCAGCAGCCGCGGUAAUACGUAGGGCGCAAGCGUUGUCCGGAAUUAUUGGGCGUAAAGAGCUCGUAGGCGGCUUGUCGCGUCGGAUGUGAAAGCCCGGGGCUUAACCCCGGGUCUGCAUUCGAUACGGGCAGGCUAGAGUUCGGUAGGGGAGAUCGGAAUUCCUGGUGUAGCGGUGAAAUGCGCAGAUAUCAGGAGGAACACCGGUGGCGAAGGCGGAUCUCUGGGCCGAUACUGACGCUGAGGAGCGAAAGCGUGGGGAGCGAACAGGAUUAGAUACCCUGGUAGUCCACGCCGUAAACGUUGGGAACUAGGUGUGGGCGACAUUCCACGUCGUCCGUGCCGCAGCUAACGCAUUAAGUUCCCCGGGGGGGAAGAGAGUCGGGG